CGAGAAUAGUUUAAUUAGAAUCUCAGUUUUGGGUGCUGAUG
rnacentral:tRNA from 1 species